UGCCAGCAGCCGCGGUAAUACGGGGGGGACUAACGUUGUUCGGAUUUACUGGGCGUAAAGGGCGCGUAGGCGGACUUUCAAGUCGGAUGUGAAAUCCACAGGCUUAACCUGUGGCUUGCAUUCGAUACUGUUGGUCUUGAGUAUAUCAGAGGGAAGCGGAAUUCCAGGUGUAGCGGUGAAAUGCGUAGAUAUCUGGAAGAACACCAGUAGCGAAGGCGGCUUUCUGGGGUAAUACUGACGCUGAAGCGCGAAGGCUAGGGGAGCAAACAGGAUUAGAUA
rnacentral:rRNA from 1 species